AUUUUUACGGUAUAGUGCAAAUUAGAGAUAAAGCAGGUGCAGUUUGCUACGAUAAUGGAUGCUAUAUAUCUAUGGGGUUGAGUGUGUUGGGCACCUUCCAGAUCCUUUCACCAUACCAAACGAAACUCCUUUCCUUCUUCCAAAUCCUAAUUCACAAUCUGCAGAUUUUCCGAUAUUGAUCGCAAUUAUCGAUUCGUUCAUCUGCGGUUUGCUUUUUGCUAUUCCAAUUUUGUUAACAAAGAAGAAGAAGAAGCAAAUCGGAACACAAUGGGAGAACGCAAGUCUUUAUCUAAGAAAAAAUCUUCCAAAAAGAAGAGACUCAAAGUUUCUUCUAAGGUAAACUACAAGGUCUACAUCCCCAAGAGGGCUCCUGCUCUGUCCAGGAGAAAACUCAAUCGGUGAUGAGGCUCAGUUAAAUUUUCAUGCCAAUUUAAUUUCAUUUGUAGAUUAUUAAUCAAAUUUGGUGUGCUGAGACUGAGUCAGGACUUAGGUGCUAGUUGGCUGAAUUCAGAUGUUCCUGGGACAAACUACGAUGUGAAUGCUUGUGUAUCAAAAAACAUUUUCCUGCCUGUGUAGCUAUGAGCUCUUUUAUCCUCAGAAGAAAGCCGUUACAGUGAUCUUUAGCUAUGUUUGUGUAGAAUAGAAGAAAAGAACAAAAUUAAGCAUUUCACAAUGAAGCUCUCGCAUUUUCCUCAUUCUGUGUCGUUCUUUUCUGGAUGUAGUUAGUAUUUUCCGUAGUUAUUGAGAACAGAAUUAAGAGGAUAUUAUUGACCAUUUGGCUGCAGUCUGCUGAAUGUGUGUUGAAUUGUAUAAUUUAGCAGGUUCAGCUCAAACUUUUUGGUGGACUCGAACGUCUUAAAUGCUUAUGCUGAUGUAAUCCUUUGUUACUUACUGUCACUGUUGGAGAAUUUUAAACAAAUGAAUAUUUUCCCUAUUUUUGUAAAGCUUCCUGAAUCUUAUUCAUUUGUAGUUGGAGUUUACAUUGCAACUAGUUCUAGAGGGAUGUUAUCAGCAUUACAUUUCAUAAUUGCGCCACAGCCCACAUGUAUUCUACCUUGUGACAACAUACCCGAUGUAGUCCUUUUAAGUGGGGUAUAGAGAGAUUAGCAUG
rnacentral:lncRNA from 1 species